rnacentral:rRNA from 1 species
AUUGAACGCUGGCGGAAUGCUUUACACACGCAAGUCGAACGGCAGCACGGGGGCAACCCUGGUGGCGAGUGGCGAACGGGUGAGUAAUAUAUCGGAACGUGCCCGGUCGUGGGGGAUAACGUAGCGAAAGUUACGCUAAUACCGCAUACGAUCUACGGAUGAAAGCGGGGGAUCGCAAGACCUCGCGCGAUUGGAGCGGCCGAUAUCAGAUUAGGUAGUUGGUGGGGUAAAGGCUAACCAAGCCAACGAUCUGUAGCUGGUCUGAGAGGACGACCAGCCACACUGGGACUGAGACACGGCCCAGACUCCUACGGGAGGCAGCAGUGGGGAAUUUUGGACAAUGGGCGCAAGCCUGAUCCAGCCAUUCCGCGUGCAGGACGAAGGCCUUCGGGUUGUAAACUGCUUUUGUACGGAACGAAAAAGCCUUGGCUAAUACCCAGGGUCCAUGACGGUACCGUAAGAAUAAGCACCGGCUAACUACGUGCCAGCAGCCGCGGUAA